rnacentral:rRNA from 1 species
ACGUAGGGUGCAAGCGUUGUCCGGAAUUACUGGGUGUAAAGGGAGCGCAGGCGGACCGGCAAGUUGGAAGUGAAAUCUAUGGGCUCAACCCAUAAAUUGCUUUCAAAACUGCUGGCCUUGAGUAGUGCAGAGGUAGGUGGAAUUCCCGGUGUAGCGGUGGAAUGCGUAGAUAUCGGGAGGAACACCAGUGGCGAAGGCGACCUACUGGGCACCAACUGACGCUGAGGCUCGAAAGCAUGGGUAGCAAACAG